rnacentral:rRNA from 1 species
CAGUCGAGCGGUAGCACAGAGAGCUUGCUCUCGGGUGACGAGCGGCGGACGGGUGAGUAAUGUCUGGGAAACUGCCUGAUGGAGGGGGAUAACUACUGGAAACGGUAGCUAAUACCGCAUAACGUCGCAAGACCAAAGUGGGGGACCUUCGGGCCUCAUGCCAUCAGAUGUGCCCAGAUGGGAUUAGCUAGUAGGUGGGGUAACGGCUCACCUAGGCGACGAUCCCUAGCUGGUCUGAGAGGAUGACCAGCCACACUGGAACUGAGACACGGUCCAGACUCCUACGGGAGGCAGCAGUGGGGAAUAUUGCACAAUGGGCGCAAGCCUGAUGCAGCCAUGCCGCGUGUGUGAAGAAGGCCUUCGGGUUGUAAAGCACUUUCAGCGGGGAGGAAGGCGGUGAGGUUAAUAACCUUGUCGAUUGACGUUACCCGCAGAAGAAGCACCGGCUAACUCCGUGCCAGCAGCCGCGGUAAUACGGAGGGUGCAAGCGUUAAUCGGAAUUACUGGGCGUAAAGCGCACGCAGGCGGUCUGUCAAGUCGGAUGUGAAAUCCCCGGGCUCAACCUGGGAACUGCAUUCGAAACUGGCAGGCUAGAGUCUUGUAGAGGGGGGUAGAAUUCCAGGUGUAGCGGUGAAAUGCGUAGAGAUCUGGAGGAAUACCGGUGGCGAAGGCGGCCCCCUGGACAAAGACUGACGCUCAGGUGCGAAAGCGUGGGGAGCAAACAGGAUUAGAUACCCUGGUAGUCCACGCCGUAAACGAUGUCGAUUUGGAGGUUGUGCCCUUGAGGCGUGGCUUCCGGAGCUAACGCGUUAAAUCGACCGCCUGGGGAGUACGGCCGCAAGGUUAAAACUCAAAUGAAUUGACGGGGGCCCGCACAAGCGGUGGAGCAUGUGGUUUAAUUCGAUGCAACGCGAAGAACCUUACCUGGUCUUGACAUCCACAGAACUUUCCAGAGAUGGAUUGGUGCCUUCGGGAACUGUGAGACAGGUGCUGCAUGGCUGUCGUCAGCUCGUGUUGUGAAAUGUUGGGGUUAAGUCCCGCAACGAGCGCAACCCUUAUCCUUUGUUGCCAGCGG